UACGUAGGGGGCAAGCGUUAUCCGGAAUUACUGGGCGUAAAGGGAGCGUAGGCGGUUUGACAAGCCAGUGGUGAAAGGCAAUAGCUUAACUAUUGUAAGCCAUUGGAACUGUCGAACUUGAGUGCAGGAGAGGUAAGUGGAAUUCCUAGUGUAGCGGUGAAAUGCGUAGAUAUUAGGAGGAACACCAGUGGCGAAGGCGACUUACUGGACUGUAACUGACGCUGAGGCUCGAAAGCGUGGGGAGCAAACAGGAUUAGAUACCCUGGUAGUCCACGCUGUAAACGAUGAAUACUAGGUGUCAGGGGUCAAACCUUGGUGCCGCAGCUAACGCAUUAAGUAUUCCGCCUGGGGAGUACGCACGCAAGUGUG
rnacentral:rRNA from 1 species